UUCCGGGAACAAAAAAAACAGAAAAUCUGUUUAUAAACACAUUUCAGAAGUGAAAACAUGUAGGCCCUAAAAGAUUACAUUGAGAGGGGUAGAGAAAGAAAGAAACACAGACAGACAGAUAGAGAGACUGGGACAGAGAGAGAUGUGGGCAUUAAACGAGAAGAUAAAUUAUGCUUCGGGAAAGCGGAUGAUCAGCUCGCCUCCCUCGAUGACAAAUCCAGCCCGUCGAAGGUGCGAUGUUAUCCCCGUUCUCGUUCCCCGCCCAACAUGAGCGGCAAUCUUUAUCUGAUCAAGAUUUCCUCGGUUGACGAAGAAAUCCGGCAGCAUUUCAAUCAGCAUUUUUGCGUGGUGAGUCGAACAUUUCCAAGCUUGAUGAUGUUCAGAAUCUCGUUAGUUGCCCCAGUGUUACGUCUCGGGCUAUGAGAUAUUAUUCGCGUUCUUGAAGACUGAAGAUCACAAUAUAUAUAUAUAUAUAUAUAUAUAUAUAUAUAUAUAUAUAUAUGAGCAUAAAAUAAAAUCAUUUCCAGAAAAGAGUUUUGAUGCUCACCUUAAAGCUGUCAAAAAUUGAUAUUUAUGGAAUUCUUUAUUGGCAAUCGUGUAUGUGAGUCACCUCUGAGAAAGAACAGAAACUUUGUCCAUGGCGN
rnacentral:lncRNA from 1 species